GGUCAGUCUACAGCAGCAGUAUCCUCAGUUUCUGCUGGAAAUUUCCCGGUUUGCAGCCCCAUAGAGACAGGUUCUCUCCUGCUAGUUAAUAAAACCGGUAGGCCAGCCAGCUUCCUUCUGGUUGCCACGGAAACCACCAGGCCACUGGCCCUCUGCAAACGGAAAAGAACAGCGAGUAAGAGACCACGAGACCACACAUUCCACCCUGGCUCGCAGAUUAAACCAGCUGUCAAGCCGGGGUGAAGGAGCAGAGGCCAGGGAAGAGCCCCGGGGCUGCGGACUGGACAGGCAAGGCCCUGCGGUGGAGCCGCAAGAUGUUGCUCCAGGGAGAAACUUGAAGGCUUUGUUCAUUGCCAGAGUCGCCGUGUUCAGAGGAAGAAGAGACAUGAAAAUGUAGAGAUCAAUCACCUUGACUAAAAUUAUUCACUGCAAAUUGAAGAACCAGUGUGCAGCUUACAGUGGCGCAGUACCUGUGCUCUCCCACUACAGCAUGCUUUCUAGAAGAAUCCGAAGACUAUAGGCUGUGGAGAUCAUUGGCGCCUGUGUUAGAGCACUCACAAGUCAUAAUACCACAGAACAUUCCAGACUCUCUAAAAUGUACUCCUGGAACACACCUGAAGAAAAGUGCUAAAAACUCAAGAGGUCUUUCAAGAUCCUACACUAAGGCUUUGAGAGUGUCCAUGGAGCCUCUUGCCCACUGCCGCAUGAGCUUUCCCUGGGGAGACAUGAACCAAUGUCUACCCGCCCCAGGAGAGCACCAGUAACAGUCAGCACCAUCCCACCUCAGGCCAGCUCUGCUCACCAGCGAGCCUGCUGGCCUUGCUCACAGACAUCGUCGCAAAGACACAACUCUGAUUUCAAACGGGUAAGAGUUUACUCUGGAGCCAAAUAUUAGUGACAAUGGCCUGAGAACACAGAUUUAGGUUACCCCAAAUUCCAUGUUCCAGUGUGGUAACAGUUUGAUGAAGCUUUACAGCAACAAAACAGAGAUGGUCAUAAGUCAAGGCAGUUUUCAAAUUCCUUGAUGCAGACAUUCAAUCCUGGCGACAGCAAAGUGGGGAACUCUCUGCUACAGGCCUCAGAUGCUAUCUGCUGACAUUCUUAGCAUCUUGGUGGUGAAAAUUAGUGGUCUCUUAACACAUUCCAAAGGUUUUGUCUGCCAGUCACAGGAUGUUAGGUCAGAUGUGGACAAGAAAUCUACUGAGGAGGCUGAAAAUAGCCCAAGGUGAAUUGUCAUUGCACUCCAAGCCCACACACUCCAGGCUCUUCCCAGUCCCUGAUGUGCUCCUAGCACACCUGGGUGCGCCUCACUGCAAGCGCGGUAGGCCGUGGUGAAGGAGCUCUCCGUGACCUUUCUAAUCAGGUUAAUCAGCCACAUAGAGCACAGGCUCCUCGAAGUUCCAUAGAGGGACAGAAGAGACAGCAAGGCAUCACUGCAAACUUCCCCUCCAGCAUGCAGAAUGGUGCCAAAGCCGCACAGAUGUAGUGUUCCCUUUAGUUAGCCUUCCACACUCUAUACUCUAGCAUCUCCCAAGACUGUUAGAGCUCAAGCAGCUCAGGCAGAACCGUAUGCAGCUGGCCUGGAGGCGCAGGUGAGGUCUGAUGCCCUUCCCACCCAUUCCUUCAACGAAACAACAUCAAUGGGCCCAAACUUUAGGGGCUCAUUGCUGCUUCUGGUGAGGCUGGAAAUGGCUGCUCUGAUGAGACAGCAGUUAUCCAGCAGCAUGUGACAGCAUACUCAGCCUUUCUCCACAGCCCAGCAGAAAAGGGAGAUGCAUGGUUGUGGGCAAGCAGGAAACCAGCAGGCAGGUGAAGACUCAUUUUGAGAGCCGAAGGGCAGCGUCUUCAUCACACUCCCCAUAUGCUCCAUCAGACCCUUGCUAUUCCCCUAGUAGGGUCAAGGUGGGGUAAAGCAUAAAGUGCACAAAUAUUGGGCACAAAUAUUUUAGUUUUACUUCCAACCAAAAGCUGGUACUAAACACUGCCUAAGGAUGGAUUUUCAGCAUUGGGCACCUGGAAAGGAUAGGGGAGGGAUGCUUAAGAAAUUAAGAAGCAGGAACAGCAAGGGGUCUUACUUGUUCAUAGCAGCUUGUCAAUAGCUGGUCCUCAUUAGCAGCUUGGCUUACGUGCCCAUUCAACAAACUUCCCAGAGUCUUCUGUCUCAGAGAAUUGAGCUCUGCCCUUCUCUUAGCCACCUAUAACCAGGACACAUGGCUCUAGAAGUAGAGUUUCUAGUCAGGUUAUGUUGAGAUAUUAAGAGUGAACAGGCCAGUGGCUUCCAUUAUUUCCAUCUGGAUUCCCUUGCUUCCCAUACCACUGUUCCCUCUGAGGGAUUCAGGUGGGUGAAUCAGACACAUGCCCACAGGAGGAAGGAACCUUGUCUUCAGCCCCUUCUCCUCAACCCUGCUCUCUUGGGUCUGUUCACCCCUCAGGAAAUCCCAGGUAUGAAUAAAUAUAACUAGAGAGCCUGGAGCUAGGAUUCAGAAAACAGAACCAUGUAAACAUUGGAAACACACACACACACACACACACACACACACACACACACACACACACGCACACACAGGCUUCCUAGGGACAUAGCUCUUCCCUCGGUUCUGUCUUUACUGGAGCCUCAGCCACAUUCUUCAAACACAGAUCUCUCCUCUGCUACAAACCUUACUGGUCCACGUUCGCCUCUUCCAGAGAUGCUCCUUCAAGGGUGUGGAGACUGAGGAAGGUGCACAGGCCACGCCAGAGGGGUACAGCUGAAGAUAUGAGACCUUUCAUUUUCUUUUGUAUCUCAAAUUUUAAAAACUCUGUUCGUGUAUUAUUUACAAUGCAGAAAAUACAUGUACAGUCUUCACAAAUAAA